rnacentral:rRNA from 2 species
GUGAGACAGGUGCUGCAUGGCUGUCGUCAGCUCGUGUUGUGAAAUGUUGGGUUAAGUCCCGCAACGAGCGCAACCCUUAUCCUUUGUUGCCAGCGAUUCGGUCGGGAACUCAAAGGAGACUGCCAGUGAUAAACUGGAGGAAGGUGGGGAUGACGUCAAGUCAUCAUGGCCCUUACGACCAGGGCUACACACGUGCUACAAUGGCGCAUACAAAGAGAAGCGACCUCGCGAGAGCAAGCGGACCUCAUAAAGUGCGUCGUAGUCCGGAUUGGAGUCUGCAACUCGACUCCAUGAAGUCGGAAUCGCUAGUAAUCGUGGAUCAGAAUGCCACGGUGAAUACGUUCCCGGGCCUUGUACACACCGCCCGUCACACCAUGGGAGUGGGUUGCAAAAGAAGUAGGUAGCUUAACCUUCGGGAGGGCGCUUACCACUUUGUGAUUCAUGACUGGGGUGAAGUCGUAACAAGGUAACCGUAGGGGAACCUGCGGUUGGAUCACCUCCUUA